rnacentral:tRNA from 1 species
UGUGGCUCAGUAGUAGAGCACUUGCCUAGCAUGUGUGAGGUACUGGGUUCAAUUCCCAGCA